rnacentral:rRNA from 1 species
GAUGAACGCUGGCGGCGUGCCUAAUACAUGCAAGUCGAGCGAACAGACGAGGAGCUUGCUCCUCUGACGUUAGCGGCGGACGGGUGAGUAACACGUGGAUAACCUACCUAUAAGACUGGGAUAACUUCGGGAAACCGGAGCUAAUACCGGAUAAUAUAUUGAACCGCAUGGUUCAAUAGUGAAAGACGGUUUUGCUGUCACUUAUAGAUGGAUCCGCGCCGCAUUAGCUAGUUGGUAAGUUAACGGCUUACCAAGGCAACGAUGCGUAGCCGACCUGAGAGGGUGAUCGGCGACACUGGAACUGAGACACGGUCCAGACUCCUACGGGAGGCAGCAGUAGGGAAUCUUCCGCAAUGGGCGAAAGCCUGACGGAGCAACGCCGCGUGAGUGAUGAAGGUCUUCGGAUCGUAAAACUCUGUUAUUAGGGAAGAACAAAUGUGUAAGUAACUAUGCACGUCUUGACGGUACCUAAUCAGAAAGCCACGGCUAACUACGUG